rnacentral:rRNA from 1 species
CUGCAGUAGACGCUGAAGACUGGUGCUUGCACUAGUCAGAUGAGUUGCGAACGGGUGAGUAACGCGUAGGUAACCUACCUCAUAGCGGGGGAUAACUAUUGGAAACGAUAGCUAAUACCGCAUGACAAUUAAGUACUCAUGUACUAAAUUUAAAAGGAGCAAUUGCUUCACUAUGAGAUGGACCUGCGUUGUAUUAGCUAGUUGGUGAGGUAACGGCUCACCAAGGCCACGAUACAUAGCCGACCUGAGAGGGUGAUCGGCCACACUGGGACUGAGACACGGCCCAGACUCCUACGGGAGGCAGCAGUAGGGAAUCUUCGGCAAUGGGGGCAACCCUGACCGAGCAACGCCGCGUGAGUGAAGAAGGUUUUCGGAUCGUAAAGCUCUGUUGUUAGAGAAGAACGGUAAUGGGAGUGGAAAAUCCAUUACGUGACGGUAACUAACCAGAAAGGGACGGCUAACUACGUGCCAGCAGCCGCGGUAAUACGUAGGUCUCGAGCGUUGUCCGGAUUUAUUGGGCGUAAAGCGAGCGCAGGCGGUUAUUUAAGUCUGAAGUUAAAGGCCGUGGCUCAACCAUGGUUCGCUUUGGAAACUGGAUAACUUGAGUGCAGAAGGGGAGAGUGGAAUUCCAUGUGUAGCGGUGAAAUGCGUAGAUAUAUGGAGGAACACCGGUGGCGAAAGCGGCUCUCUGGUCUGUAACUGACGCUGAAGCUCGAAAGCGUGGGGAGCAAACAGGAUUAGAUACCCUGGUAGUCCACGCCGUA